rnacentral:rRNA from 1 species
GACGAACGCUGGCGGCGUGCCUAAUACAUGCAAGUAGAACGCACAGUUUAUACCGUAGCUUGCUACACCAUAGACUGUGAGUUGCGAACGGGUGAGUAACGCGUAGGUAACCUGCCUGGUAGCGGGGGAUAACUAUUGGAAACGAUAGCUAAUACCGCAUAAUAUUAAUUAUUGCAUGAUAAUUAAUUGAAAGGUGCAAUUGCACCACUACCAGAUGGACCUGCGUUGUAUUAGCUAGUAGGUGAGGUAACGGCUCACCUAGGCGACGAUACAUAGCCGACCUGAGAGGGUGAUCCGCCACACUGGGACUGAGACACGGCCCAGACUCCUACGGGAGGCAGCAGUAGGGAAUCUUCGGCAAUGGACGAAAGUCUGACCGAGCAACGCCGCGUGAGUGAAGAAGGUUUUCGGAUCGUAAAGCUCUGUUGUAAGAGAAGAACGGGUGUGAGAGUGGAAAGUUCACACUGUGACGGUAUCUUACCAGAAAGGGACGGCUAACUACGUG